rnacentral:rRNA from 1 species
UACGUAGGGGGCGAGCGUUGUCCGGAAUUAUUGGGCGUAAAGAGCGUGUAGGCGGUUCGGUAAGUCUGCCGUGAAAACCUGAGGCUCAACCUCGGGCGUGCGGUGGAUACUGCCGGGCUAGAGGACGGUAGAGGCGAGUGGAAUUCCCGGUGUAGCGGUGAAAUGCGCAGAUAUCAGGAGGAACACCGAUGGCGAAGGCAGGUCUCUGGGCAUUAACUGACGCUGAGGAGCGAAAGCAUGGGGAGCGAACAGG